GCUCCGGUGGCCUAGUGGAUUGAACAUCCGCCUCGGAUGCUGGAGGUCGUGGGUUCAAUCCCCGGUCGAGUCA